rnacentral:rRNA from 1 species
AUGCAGAAUAGAAUUAGAAGUAUUGACCGACAUACCAGUAGUGACUUCAACGUCACGGAGCUUGGCCGCCCUCAUGGCGCACCGCUGCUGUAUGUCGUCCACAUCCGGCUGAGUCUGGAGACGGCCACUCACCCGUCGCCCCUCAGACAUCGGAUCCUGAAUCCCUCCAAACGCAAUGACCUCCUCCCGAGAGAUCCUGGUUGGGGUAAGGCCUCCUGCCUUUCCCCAACCGCUAGGCCGGCCCACCUGCACGGACUCCCCAGCAGACUCGCCAGGAAGUGGAAAGGCACUCACCGGGGCCUCAGACGUUUGGCGCGCCCCGCAGGACGGAGCCGGCAGCGAGCGGGGUGA